UACAGAGGGUGCAAGCGUUAAUCGGAAUUACUGGGCGUAAAGCGUAUGCAGGCGGAUCGUUAAGUCGGGGGUGAAAUCCCGAGGCUCAACCUCGGAACUGCCUUCGAUACUGGCGAUCUUGAGUCCGGGAGAGGUGAGUGGAACUCCGAGUGUAGAGGUGAAAUUCGUAGAUAUUCGGAAGAACACCAGUGGCGAAGGCGGCUCACUGGCCCGGUACUGACGCUGAGAUACGAAAGCGUGGGGAGCAAACAGG
rnacentral:rRNA from 1 species